GAUGAACGCUGGCGGCGUGCCUAAUACAUGCAAGUCGAGCGAACAGACGAGGAGCUUGCUCCUCUGACGUUAGCGGCGGACGGGUGAGUAACACGUGGAUAACCUACCUAUAAGACUGGGAUAACUUCGGGAAACCGGAGCUAAUACCGGAUAAUAUAUUGAACCGCAUGGUUCAAUAGUGAAAGACGGUUUUGCUGUCACUUAUAGAUGGAUCCGCGCCGCAUUAGCUAGUUGGUAAGGUAACGGCUUACCAAGGCAACGAUGCGUAGCCGACCUGAGAGGGUGAUCGGCCACACUGGAACUGAGACACGGUCCAGACUCCUACGGGAGGCAGCAGUAGGGAAUCUUCCGCAAUGGGCGAAAGCCUGACGGAGCAACGCCGCGUGAGUGAUGAAGGUCUUCGGAUCGUAAAACUCUGUUAUUAGGGAAGAACAAAUGUGUAAGUAACUAUGCGCGUCUUGACGGUACCUAAUCAGAAAGCCACGGCUAACCACGUG
rnacentral:rRNA from 1 species